AGAGCGCACGGUGGAUGCCUAGGCACUAAUAGGCGAAGAAGGACGCGACUAACAGCGAAAUGCUACGGGGAGCAGUAAGUAGGCAAAGAUCCGUAGGUAUCCGAAUGGGGAAACCCACUAGUUAGAAGAGCUAGUAUCGAAUAAUGAAUACAUAGUUAUUCGAGGCGAACCCGGGGAACUGAAACAUCUAAGUACCCGGAGGAAAAGAGAACAAAAGUAAUUCCCUAAGUAGAGGCGAUUGAAAGGGGAGGAGCCCAGCACCAUGAAGAGUUAGAAAAUCUUUUUAUAGUAGAAUUGUAUUGGAAAAGCAAGACAAAGAAGGUGAAAUCCCUGUAUACGAAAUAAAGAGAUCUCGGUGUCGGAGUAGGGCGGAGCACGAGGAAUUCUGUCUGAAUAAGUGAGGACCAUCUCAUAAGGCUAAAUACUCAUUAGUGACCGAUAGUGAACCAGUACUGUGAAGGAAAGGUGAAAAGAACCCCUGGCGGGGAGUGAAAAGAACCUGAAACCGUGUGCUUACAAACAGUUAGAGCCCGUCAAAGGGUGAUAGCGUGCCUUUUGUAGAAUGAGCCGGCGAGUUACGUUAAUGUGCGAGGUUAAGUUUUAAGGGACGGAGCCGAAGCGAAAGCGAGUCUGAAGAGGGCGAAAUAGUAGAUUGACGUAUACCCGAAACCGGGUGAUCUAGCCAUGAGCAGGUUGAAGCUUGGGUAAAACCAGGUGGAGGACCGAACCAGGGUCUGUUGAAAAAGACUUGGAUGACUUGUGGCUAGGGGUGAAAUUCCAAUCGAACCCGGAGAUAGCUGGUUCUCCCCGAAAUAGCUUUAGGGCUAGCGUUAUGGAGAAGAGUUAUACGAAGGUAGAGCACUGAAUGGGUGAGGGCCUCAUCUCGAGGUACUGAUCUCAAUCAAACUCCGAAUGUCGUAUAAUAUACAUAGCAGUAAGACUAUGGGUGAUAAGGUUCAUAGUCAAAAGGGAAACAGCCCAGACCGCCAGUUAAGGUCCCAAAAUUAUGCUAAGUGGGAAAGGAGGUGGAGUCGCAUAGACAACUAGGAGGUUGGCUUAGAAGCAGCCAUCCUUUAAAGAGUGCGUAAUAGCUCACUAGUCGAGUGAUUCUGCGCCGAAAAUGUAUCGGGGCUAAGCAUAAUACCGAAGCUGCGGGAUUAGACAAAGAGUCUAAUCGGUAGGGGAGCGUACUAAACGCGAAGAAGGUUGACCGGAAGGGCAGCUGGAGAGUUUAGCAGUGAGAAUGCCGGUGUGAGUAGCGAUAAGAUGGGUGAGAAUCCCAUCCGUCGGAAGCCUAAGGGUUCCAGGGGUAAGGCUCGUCCGCCCUGGGUAAGUCGGGACCUAAGGUGAGGCCGAAAGGCGUAGCCGAUGGAUAUCAGGUUGAUAAUCCUGGACCACCGUAGAGCUGAAGGAGUGACGGAGGAGGGAAGUUAGGAUGGACUGGUGGAAUAGUCUAAUGAAGCACAAAGAGGGAUACGUAGGAAAAGCCGCGUAUUGAAACCUUGAAGUGUAAACCGCAAGGCCUAAUGGACCACACUUCCAAGAAAAGCUUCUAGGAGUACUUUAUGGUGCCCGUACCGUAAACGGACACACGUAGGCGAGGAGAGAAUCCAAAGACGCGCGAGAUAAUUCUUGUUAAGGAACUCUGCAAAAUGACCCUGUAACUUCGGGAUAAAGGGGACUCUAGAGAUAGAGGCGCAGAAAAUAGGCCCAAGCGACUGUUUAACAAAAACAUAGGUUUCUGCUAAAGCGAAAGCUGAUGUAUAGGAGCUGACGCCUGCCCAGUGCUGGAAGGUUAAGAGGAGAUGUAAGUCGCAAGGCAAAGCAUUGAAUUGAAGCCCCAGUAAACGGCGGCCGUAACUAUAACGGUCCUAAGGUAGCGAAAUUCCUUGUCAGGUAAGUUCUGACCCGCACGAAAGGCGUAACGAUUUGGGCGCUGUCUCAACAAGAAACUCGGUGAAAUCAUAGUACCUGUGAAGAUGCAGGUUACCCGCGAUCAGACGGAAAGACCCCAUGGAGCUUCACUGCAGCUUAAUAUUGAUAUUGGGUGUGUGAUGUACAGGAUAGGUGGGAGACGAAGAAGCGAGUACGCUAGUAUUCGUGGAGUCAACGUUGGGAUACCACCCUUCAUACAUUUGAGUUCUAACUAGUAUCCAUAAUCUGGGUAUAGAACAG
rnacentral:rRNA from 1 species